rnacentral:rRNA from 1 species
AUGAACGCUGGCGGCGUGCCUAAUACAUGCAAGUCGCGCGAACGGACGAGAAGCUUGCUUUUCUGGUGUUAGCGGCGGACGGGUGAGUAACACGUGGAUAACCUACCUAUAAGACUGGGAUAACUUCGGGAAACCGGAGCUAAUACCGGAUAAUAUUUUGAACCGCAUGGUUCAAAAGUGAAAGACGGUCUUGCUGUCACUUAUAGAUGGAUCCGCGCUGCAUUAGCUAGUUGGUAAGGUAACGGCUUACCAAGGCAACGAUGCAUAGCCGACCUGAGAGGGUGAUCGGCCACACUGGAACUGAGACACGGUCCAGACUCCUACGGGAGGCAGCAGUAGGGAAUCUUCCGCAAUGGGCGAAAGCCUGACGGAGCAACGCCGCGUGAGUGAUGAAGGUCUUCGGAUCGUAAAACUCUGUUAUUAGGGAAGAACAUAUGUGUAAGUAACUGUGCACAUCUUGACGGUACCUAAUCAGAAAGCCACGGCUAACUACGU